GCUCCGCUCGCUACAUGCUGCACUUGGAUCCUCACUAAGUGAAGAAUCACUCCAUUUAGAGCAUGCUCGUCUUGGCCGCAUGCACUGCAAGAUUUCUAUUAUGCUUGUGGAGCAAAUCACUGCAUAUACUGUUAAGGAAAGGAGCGAUGGCAACAUAUACUGUUGCCAGCCAAUCUCAAGUCCUGCUUCACUUCAGUUAGGAUCCAUGUGCAGCAUGUAGUGAGUGGAGUA
rnacentral:pre_miRNA from 1 species